rnacentral:rRNA from 1 species
CCGUAUGCAGGGGGACAACAGUCAGAAAUGACUGCUAAUACCGCAUAAGCACACAAUGCUGCAUGGCAUGGUGUGAGAAGAUUUAUCGGCAUACGAUGGCCCCGCGUCUGAUUAGCCAGUUGGCAGGGUAACGGCCUACCAAAGCAACGAUCAGUAGCCGGCUUGAGAGAGUGACCGGCCACAUUGGGACUGAGACACGGCCCAGACUCCUACGGGAGGCAGCAG